rnacentral:rRNA from 1 species
CACGAAAUUCGGCCUCGCUGGUUUCCUUUCUUGCUGCCUCUCCUGCGCUGCCGGCGUGUCGGACGUUCAAAAAUCUCGUCCCCCCUUUGGGUUAGCGUAGACAGGCAAGGGGGCGGCAUUACCACCGGUGGAGAUUGCACCCUAGGACCGACCCCAGGCUUUAUGGACUAGCCAAGAACCCUAAGCAAAAAGAAAAUCCCCAUCUUCUUCCCCUCCAAAUCUCCCAAUCCCUUUCUCCUUCGAGAAAAUCUGCCCGAGAUUCCGCACGAGCACCGCCGGUUCCCUCUAGGAAGGGGAGAGAUCCGACCUAUCUCCGCGGCGGCGAAUCGGGGAAGAUGAAUCCCCUGACGCAGGUGAAGCGGACGCAGGUGAUAAACCAGAAGGAGGCGGCGUUGGGCCUCAGCGAGGACGCAUCCUGGCACACCAAGUUCAGGGGCUCCGCCUACGUCUUCGUCGGCGGCGUCCCCUUCGACCUCACCGAGGGCGACCUCCUCGCCGUCUUCGCGCAGUAUGGCGAGGUGGUCGACGUGAACCUCGUGCGCGACAAGGCCACCGGCAAGUCCAAGGGCUUCGCAUUCGUCGCCUAUGAGGACCAGAGGAGCACGGUUCUUGCUGUCGAUAACUUGAAUGGGGCUAAGGUUCUUGGGAGGAUCAUCAGGGUUGACCAUGUGGAGAAGUACAAGAAGAAGGAGGAGGAGGACGAGGAGGAGCUGCAGAAGAAGAGGGAGGAGCGCGGCGUGUGCUAUGCUUUCCAGAAAGGCGAGUGCAACCGCGGCGAUGCGUGCAAAUAUUCCCAUGAUGAACAGAGAAAUGCAAACACUGGUUGGGGUUCUAAGGAGGAUGACCCAAAAUGGGAGCAUGACAGACACCGUGGUCCACAAAAUAAGGGGGAAUCCCGUGGUGUCUGCUAUGCUUUCCAGAAAGGCGAAUGCAGUCGGGGAGAUACCUGCAGGUUUUCGCAUGAUGAGCAGGUAGCUGUCCAGGGACGUGGCGUCUGCUAUGCUUUCCAGAAAGGCGAGUGCAGUCGCGGAGCUUCCUGCAGAUUUUCACAUGAUGAGCAGAGAAAUGCAAACACUGAUCGACGUUCUAGGGAGGACAGCAAUGCAAGGCGGCAGCAUGACCAUGAUCCACCAAAGAGCCACAAAAAUAUCCCUGACAGGACUAAAGAAGAGGCGAGAUCAGGGGAUAGGGAUGGUCAAUCCUCAAGAUCAGAGUUGUACAGGGACCGAGAUUCUAGGACAAGAUAUGGCGAUAGAGACACAAAAGAUAGGGACAGGAACAUGCACGAGAAAUCCCCUGAGAGAUCCAGAGGCGACAGGCAGAGAGGCGAUGACAGGGGAAGAGAAGAUAGAUCAGACACAAAAGAUAGGGACAGGAACGGGCACGAGAAAUCCCCUGAGAGAUCAAGAGGCGACAGGCAGAGAGGUGAUGACAGGGGAAGAGAAGAUAGAUCAGACAUAAAAGGUAGAGACAGGAACGGGUACGAGAAAUCCCCGGAGAGACCAAGAGGCGAUAGGCAGAGGGGCGAUGACAGGCGAAGAGAAGAUAGAUCAGAGAGCAGGCGGUCUAGGCACGACAGAGAUUCUGGUGUCCGUUACGAGAGAAGAGGCGACAAAGAGGAAGAAUGGUACAGGAAAUCGCAGAGAUAAAACUUGGGUUUUCAGGGCACGCUCUGCCGUUGCUAUUCUAAUCUGGUUGAUGUUUGUACUUGUACAAGGUGAACAAUUAUGUUCAGUCCUUUGGUGUUUGCUUGUUCUUUUCAUUUACGAGGUUUCUGAACAUACUAGCCAAUGGAUGAUUUUGCAGGGUUUCAACUCAAUCCAUUGGUUUCCACAGCAGUGUUCAUUAUUGUUAUUACACUUAUCUGGUGAAUCUUGUACCACUAUGGAAAGUUUUAUCGGUUGUAGCACUACUAGCACCCCCGUCCUGUAAUUUUAACAUAAAACUGGC